rnacentral:rRNA from 1 species
UACCAGCACCCCGAGUGGUCGGGACGUUUAUUGGGCCUAAAGCAUCCGUAGCCGGUUCUACAAGUCUUCCGUUAAAUCCAGCUGCUUAACAGAUGGGCUGCGGAAGAUACUAUGGAGCUAGGAGGCGGGAGAGGCAAGCGGUACUCGAUGGGUAGGGGUAAAAUCCGUUGAUCCAUUGAAGACCACCAGUGGCGAAGGCGGCUUGCCAGAACGCGCUCGACGGUGAGGGAUGAAAGCUGGGGGAGCAGACCGG